rnacentral:rRNA from 1 species
UACGUAGGGGGCAAGCGUUGUUCGGAAUCACUGGGCGUAAAGGGCGCGUAGGCGGCUUUAUAAGUCGGGGGUGAAAGCCUGUGGCUCAACCACAGAAUUGCCUUCGAUACUGUAGAGCUUGAGACCGGAAGAGGUAAGUGGAACUGCGAGUGUAGAGGUGAAAUUCGUAGAUAUUCGCAAGAACACCAGUGGCGAAGGCGGCUUACUGGUCCGGUUCUGACGCUGAGGCGCGAAAGCGUGGGGAGCAAACAGG